UACGAACCGUGCGAACGUGAUUCGGAAUCACUGGGCUUAAAGCGCGUGUAGGCGGGAGGGCACGUCCGUUGCUGAAAUCCCCCGGCUCAACCGGGGAACGGGCGCGGAUACGACCUUCCUGGAGGGGCGUAGGGGGACCUGGAACUUCCGGUGGAGCGGUGAAAUGCGUAGAGAUCGGAAAGAACACCAACGGCGAAAGCACUCUGCUGGGCCGACACUGACACUGAGAGCCGAAAGCUAGGGGAGCGAACGGG
rnacentral:rRNA from 1 species